CGAGCGAACGGGGAGCAGCCCAGAGUCUGAAUCAGCUUGUGUGUUAGUGGAACGGUCUGGAAAGUCCGACGGUACAGGGUGAUAGUCCCGUACACCAAA
rnacentral:rRNA from 1 species